AAUGAACGCUGGCGGCGUGCGUAACACAUGCAAGUCGAACGAGAAAUUCCGGGCUUGCUCGGGAGAGUAAAGUGGCGAACGGGUGAGUAACGCGUGGGUAACCUGCCCCUGAAUCUGGAAUAACUUCGCGAAAGCGAGGCUAAUACCGGAUAUUGUCCCAGGGACUCCGGUCCUUGUGAUGAAAGAUGACCUCUUCACGAAAGUUGUCGUUCAGGGAGGGGCCCGCGUACCAUUAGCUAGUUGGUAGGGUAAUGGCCUACCAAGGCGAUGAUGGUUAGCUGGUCUGAGAGGAUGACCAGCCACACUGGCACUGAAACACGGGCCAGACUCCUACGGGAGGCAGCAGUGAGGAAUUUUGCGCAAUAGGGGAAACCCUGACGCAGCAACGCCGCGUGAGUGAAGAAGGCCCUCGGGUCGUAAAGCUCUGUCAAGUGGGAAAAAAGCUUGUUGGUGAAUAGCCAGCAAGACUGAUGGUACCAUUGAAGGAAGCACCGGCUAACUCCGUGCCAGCCGCCGCAGUAAUAC
rnacentral:rRNA from 1 species